GCAUAUCAAUAAGCGGAGGAAAAGAAACCAACAGGGAUUGCCCUAGUAACGGCGAGUGAAGCGGCAACAGCUCAAAUUUGAAAUCUGGCUUCGGCCCGAGUUGUAAUUUGCAGAGGAUGUUUAUGGUGCGGUACUUUCCGAGUUCCCUGGAACGGGACGCCACAGAGGGUGAGAGCCCCGUCUGGAUGGAUACCAAACCUGUGUUAAACUCCUUCAACGAGUCGAGUAGUUUGGGAAUGCUGCUCUAAAUGGGAGGUAAAUCUCUUCUAAAGCUAAAUAUAGGCCAGAGACCGAUAGCGCACAAGUAGAGUGAUCGAAAGAUGAAAAGCACCUUGAAAAGGGGGUUAAACAGUACGUGAAAUUGUUGAAAGGGAAGCGUUUAUGACCAGACUUGUGUCGUGUGGCUCAUCCGAGGUUCUCCCCGGUGCACUCCACGCGGCUCAGGCCAACAUCGGUUUUUGUCGGAGGAAAAGAAUAGUAGGAACGUAGCUCUUCCUCGGAAGAGUGUUAUAGCCUAUUAUACGAUACUUUGAUAGAGACCGAGGACCGCGCUUCGGCUAGGAUGUUGGCGUAAUGGUCAUUAGCGACCCGUCUUGAAACACGGACCAAGGAGUCGUCCAUUAGAGCGAGCGUUUGGGUGUAAAACCCGCACGCGUAAUGAAAGUGAAAUUAGGUGAGAGCUUCGGCGCAUCAUCGACCGAUCCUGAAGUUUACGGAUGGAUUUGAGUAAGAGUUUUAACGGACGGACCCGAAAGACAGUGAACUAUGCUUGAAUAGGGUGAAGCCAGAGGAAACUCUGGUGGAGGCUCGCAGCGGUUCUGACGUGCAAAUCGAUCGUCAAAUUUGAGCAUGGGGGCGAAAGACUAAUCGAACUGUCUAGUAGCUGGUUACCGCCGA
rnacentral:rRNA from 1 species